CAACCCUCAAGCCACGCUUGGUGAUGGGCCCCGCCCGCGGGCGGGCCCGAAACUCGCAGGCGCCACCUCCCGGCCUCAAGCGUAGCAAUACCCUCGCUUGGGCCCCCGGGCGGCGGCUGCCCCGAACGAAUACUCACAAGG
rnacentral:misc_RNA from 1 species